GCUAUAUUAGAAAACCUGGGAAGGUGAGCUGAGUUGGAAACUUGAUAGAUCUAAUAAUUUAUUGGCUCAGGAUUUGUCAAUCACCCAGCUCAGCAAAUGAGAUUAGAGCAGAGUCAUAGGGGAGGGAGGGAGUGACGCAGCAAACUAUUUGCACCAAGAAAAUCUAGUCAAAAGACCUCUGUGUAAUCAUAUUGCGGCACCGGUUUUUCUUGCAGCAGCUGCUGCUUGCGAAGGAGGUCCGCCCAACUGCAGCUCUCUGCCGUCUCUGGCUCGCUCCUGCGAGACUGGCCUCGCCACUCUCUGCACCCAAGCCCAUCCUACCGUUGCCUCUGUCCACUUCUCACAGCAUUCAUCCCCGCAGCAGCCUCCACCGUUAUUCCCGCAGCCCAGCCAGCCACUACUGCUCGCUCCACCUCUGCCCCAGCCACCACCGCUUCUGCUAUUCCGGUGAUUGUGAUGUGAUCCCACAGAAUUAUAAGAUGAAAGUGGAACAAAAGCUCUUCUGCUUGUGACUUAUUCCUCCAUUAUUGAACAUGCUUCCUUCGGAUUUUGGCUCAGAGAGCUUUAGGCCUGCUCUAGUAUUGUGCUGCAAGACCCCUCCGCCUCUUCAUCCACCUCAGGCCAGUUUCCACAGUGGCCAUGGCUGCAGCUGUUUCCGCUUCAACUUCUUCCUCCAUCUUAGACCCUGCCAGUGCCCACUGCCUGAGCCAUAGCCAUCUCUUCCACUUCUUGUGAAUCCUUUUCCUAUUAGAAAG
rnacentral:lncRNA from 1 species